rnacentral:rRNA from 1 species
UUAAGCGACUAAGCGUACACGGUGGAUGCCCUGGCAGUCAGAGGCGAUGAAGGACGUGCUAAUCUGCGAUAAGCGUCGGUAAGGUGAUAUGAACCGUUAUAACCGGCGAUUUCCGAAUGGGGAAACCCAGUGUGAUUCGUCACACUAUCAUUAACUGAAUCCAUAGGUUAAUGAGGCGAACCGGGGGAACUGAAACAUCUAAGUACCCCGAGGAAAAGAAAUCAACCGAGAUUCCCCCAGUAGCGGCGAGCGAACGGGGAGCAGCCCAGAGCCUGAAUCAGUGUGUGUGUUAGUGGAAGCGUCUGGAAAGGCGCGCGAUACAGGGUGACAGCCCCGUACACAAAAAUGCACAUGCUGUGAGCUCGAUGAGUAGGGCGGGACACGUGGUAUCCUGUCUGAAUAUGGGGGGACCAUCCUCCAAGGCUAAAUACUCCUGACUGACCGAUAGUGAACCAGUACCGUGAGGGAAAGGCGAAAAGAACCCCGGCGAGGGGAGUGAAAAAGAACCUGAAACCGUGUACGUACAAGCAGUGGGAGCACAGAGCAAUCUGUGUGACUGCGUACCUUUUGUAUAAUGGGUCAGCGACUUAUAUUCUGUAGCAAGGUUAACCGAAUAGGGGAGCCGAAGGGAAACCGAGUCUUAACUGGGCGUUAAGUUGCAGGGUAUAGACCCGAAACCCGGUGAUCUAGCCAUGGGCAGGUUGAAGGUUGGGUAACACUAACUGGAGGACCGAACCGACUAAUGUUGAAAAAUUAGCGGAUGACUUGUGGCUGGGGGUGAAAGGCCAAUCAAACCGGGAGAUAGCUGGUUCUCCCCGAAAGCUAUUUAGGUAGCGCCUCGUGAAUUCAUCUCCGGGGGUAGAGCACUGUUUCGGCAAGGGGGUCAUCCCGACUUACCAACCCGAUGCAAACUGCGAAUACCGGAGAAUGUUAUCACGGGAGACACACGGCGGGUGCUAACGUCCGUCGUGAAGAGGGAAACAACCCAGACCGCCAGCUAAGGUCCCAAAGUCAUGGUUAAGUGGGAAACGAUGUGGGAAGGCCCAGACAGCCAGGAUGUUGGCUUAGAAGCAGCCAUCAUUUAAAGAAAGCGUAAUAGCUCACUGGUCGAGUCGGCCUGCGCGGAAGAUGUAACGGGGCUAAACCAUGCACCGAAGCUGCGGCAGCGACGCUGAUGCGUUGUUGGGUAGGGGAGCGUUCUGUAAGCCUGUGAAGGUGUACUGUGAGGUAUGCUGGAGGUAUCAGAAGUGCGAAUGCUGACAUAAGUAACGAUAAAGCGGGUGAAAAGCCCGCUCGCCGGAAGACCAAGGGUUCCUGUCCAACGUUAAUCGGGGCAGGGUGAGUCGACCCCUAAGGCGAGGCCGAAAGGCGUAGUCGAUGGGAAACAGGUUAAUAUUCCUGUACUUGGUGUUACUGCGAAGGGGGGACGGAGAAGGCUAUGUUGGCCGGGCGACGGUUGUCCCGGUUUAAGCGUGUAGGCUGGUUUUCCAGGCAAAUCCGGAAAAUCAAGGCUGAGGCGUGAUGACGAGGCACUACGGUGCUGAAGCAACAAAUGCCCUGCUUCCAGGAAAAGCCUCUAAGCAUCAGGUAACAUCAAAUCGUACCCCAAACCGACACAGGUGGUCAGGUAGAGAAUACCAAGGCGCUUGAGAGAACUCGGGUGAAGGAACUAGGCAAAAUGGUGCCGUAACUUCGGGAGAAGGCACGCUGAUAUGUAGGUGAAGUCCCUCGCGGAUGGAGCUGAAAUCAGUCGAAGAUACCAGCUGGCUGCAACUGUUUAUUAAAAACACAGCACUGUGCAAACACGAAAGUGGACGUAUACGGUGUGACGCCUGCCCGGUGCCGGAAGGUUAAUUGAUGGGGUUAGCGCAAGCGAAGCUCUUGAUCGAAGCCCCGGUAAACGGCGGCCGUAACUAUAACGGUCCUAAGGUAGCGAAAUUCCUUGUCGGGUAAGUUCCGACCUGCACGAAUGGCGUAAUGAUGGCCAGGCUGUCUCCACCCGAGACUCAGUGAAAUUGAACUCGCUGUGAAGAUGCAGUGUACCCGCGGCAAGACGGAAAGACCCCGUGAACCUUUACUAUAGCUUGACACUGAACAUUGAGCCUUGAUGUGUAGGAUAGGUGGGAGGCUUUGAAGUGUGGACGCCAGUCUGCAUGGAGCCGACCUUGAAAUACCACCCUUUAAUGUUUGAUGUUCUAACGUUGACCCGUGAUCCGGGUUGCGGACAGUGUCUGGUGGGUAGUUUGACUGGGGCGGUCUCCUCCUAAAGAGUAACGGAGGAGCACGAAGGUUGGCUAAUCCUGGUCGGACAUCAGGAGGUUAGUGCAAUGGCAUAAGCCAGCUUGACUGCGAGCGUGACGGCGCGAGCAGGUGCGAAAGCAGGUCAUAGUGAUCCGGUGGUUCUGAAUGGAAGGGCCAUCGCUCAACGGAUAAAAGGUACUCCGGGGAUAACAGGCUGAUACCGCCCAAGAGUUCAUAUCGACGGCGGUGUUUGGCACCUCGAUGUCGGCUCAUCACAUCCUGGGGCUGAAGUAGGUCCCAAGGGUAUGGCUGUUCGCCAUUUAAAGUGGUACGCGAGCUGGGUUUAGAACGUCGUGAGACAGUUCGGUCCCUAUCUGCCGUGGGCGCUGGAGAACUGAGGGGGGCUGCUCCUAGUACGAGAGGACCGGAGUGGACGCAUCACUGGUGUUCGGGUUGUCAUGCCAAUGGCACUGCCCGGUAGCUAAAUGCGGAAGAGAUAAGUGCUGAAAGCAUCUAAGCACGAAACUUGCCCCGAGAUGAGUUCUCCCUGACCCUUUAAGGGUCCUGAAGGAACGUUGAAGACGACGACGUUGAUAGGCCGGGUGUGUAAGCGCAGCGAUGCGUUGAGCUAACCGGUACUAAUGAACCGUGAGGCUUAACCUU